rnacentral:rRNA from 1 species
AGAGUUUGAUCUUGGCUCAGGAUGAACGCUAGCGGCAGGCUUAACACAUGCAAGUCGAGGGGCAGCAUGUCCAGCAAUGGAUGAUGGCGACCGGCGGAAGGGUGCGUAACGCGUGAGCAACAUGCCCUAUACAGGGAGAUACACCAGAGGAAACUUGGUCUAAUAUCCCAUAGCAUUCAUUGAAGGCAUCUUUAAUGAAUUAAAGCUUCGGUGGUAUAGGAUUGGCUCGCGUGACAUUAGCCAGAUGGUGAGGUAACGGCUCACCAUAGCAAUGAUGUCUAGGGGUUUUGAGAGGAAGGCCCCCCACACUGGGACUGAGACACGGCCCAGACUCCUACGGGAGGCAGCAGUGAGGAAUAUUGGACAAUGGAUGGAAAUCUGAUCCAGCCAUGCCGCGUGCAGGAAGACGGCCUUAUGGGUUGUAAACUGCUUUUAUACGGGAGCAAUAAGGGUUACGAGUAAUCCGAUGAGAGUACUGUAUGAAUAAGGAUCGGCUAACUCCGUGCCAGCAGCCGCGGUAAUACGGAGGAUCCGAGCGUUAUCCGGAAUUAUUGGGUUUAAAGGGUGCGUAGGCGGCCAUUUAAGUCAGCGGUGAAAUUUUGCAGCUUAACUGUAACAGUGCCGUUGAUACUGUUUGGCUAGGAUUUGGUUGUAGUGUGCGGAAUGUGUGGUGUAGCGGUGAAAUGCUUAGAUAUCACACAGAACACCGAUUGCGAAGGCAGCACACUAAGUCAUUAUUGACGCUGAGGCACGAAAGUGUGGGGAUCAAACAGGAUUAGAUACCCUGGUAGUCCACACUGUAAACGAUGAUAACUCGCUGUCGGCGAUACACAGUCGGGGCCAAGCGAAAGC